UACGUAGGGUGCAAGCGUUAAUCGGAAUUACUGGGCGUAAAGCGUGCGCAGGCGGUUGUGCAAGACAGAUGUGAAAUCCCCGGGCUCAACUGGGAAUGCAUUUGUGACUGCACGGCUAGAGUGUGUCAGAGGGGGUAGAAUUCCACGUGUAGCAGUGAAAUGCGUAGAGAUGAUGGAGAAUACCGAUGGCGAAGGCAGCCCCUGGGAUAACACUGACGCUCAUGCACGAAAGCGUGGGAGCAAAC
rnacentral:rRNA from 1 species